rnacentral:rRNA from 1 species
AUUGAACGCUGGCGGCAGGCCUAACACAUGCAAGUCGAACGAGAGGCGGACGGGAGAGUAAUGUAUGGGAAACUGCCUGAGGGAGGGGGAUAACUACUGGAAACGGUAGCUAAUAACGCAUAGCAUCGCAUGUGCCGAGAUGGGAUUAGCUAGUGGGGGGGGUAAAGGCUCACCUAGGCGACGAGCCCUAGCUGGUCUGAGAGGAUUCCCAGCCACACUGGAACUGAGACACGGUCCAGACUCCUACGGGAGGCAGCAGUGGGGAAUAUUGCACAAUGGGCGCAAGCCUGAUGCAGCCAUGCCGCGUGUAUGAAGAAGGCCUUCGGGUUGUAAAGUACUUUCAGCGAGGAGGCGUUACUCGCAGAAGAAGCACCGGCUAACUCCGUGCCAGCAGCCGCGGUAAUUC